AUUGAACGCUGGCGGCAUGCUUUACACAUGCAAGUCGAACGGCAGCGCGGGCUUCGGUCUGGCGGCGAGUGGAGAACGGGUGAGUAAUACAUCGGAACGUGCCCAGUUGUGGGGGAUAGCUCGGCGAAAGCCGGAUUAAUACCGCAUACGACCUGAGGGUGAAAGCGGGGGAUCUUCGGACCUCGCGCUAUUGGAGCGGUCGAUGGCAGAUUAGCUAGUUGGUGGGGUAAAGGCCUACCAAGGCGACGAUCUGUAGCUGGUCUGAGAGGACGACCAGCCACACUGGGACUGAGACACGGCCCAGACUCCUACGGGAGGCAGCAGUGGGGAAUUUUGGACAAUGGGCGAAAGCCUGAUCCAGCAAUGCCGCGUGUGUGAUGAAGGCCUUCGGGUUGUAAAGCACUUUUGGCGGGAACGAAAAGGACUGUGCCAAUACCACGGUUCGAUGACGGUACCCGCAGAAUAAGCACCGGCUAACUACGUG
rnacentral:rRNA from 1 species